rnacentral:sRNA from 1 species
UUAGUGACCUGCGGAGGAUCAUUACCUAGAGUUUGUAGACUUCGGUCUGCUACCUCUUACCCAUGUCUUGUGAGUACCUUCGUUUCCUCGGCGGGUCCGCCCGCCGAUUGGACAACAUUCAAACCCUUUGCAGUUGCAAUAAGCGUCUGAAAAAACAUAAUAGUUACAACUUUCAACAACGGAUCUCUUGGUUCUGGCAUCGAUGAAGCAUGCAGCGAAAUGCGAUAAGUAGUGUGAAUUGCAGAAUUCAGUGAAUCAUCGAAUCUUUGAACGCACGCUGCGCCCCUUGGUAUUCCAUGGGGCAUGCCUGUUCGAGCGUCAUUUGUACCUUCAAGCUCUGCUUGAUGUUGGGUGUUUGUCUCGCCUCUGCGUGUAGACUCGCCUUAAAACAAUUGGCAGCCGGCGUAUUGAUUUCGGAGCGCAGUACAUCUCGCGCUUUGCACUCAUAACGACGACGUCCAAAAGUACAUUUUUACACUCUUGACCUCGGAUCAGGUAGGGAUACCCGCUGAAACUUAAUCAUAUCAAUAACCGGAGGAA